rnacentral:misc_RNA from 1 species
GAGAAGAACGUAGCGAAAUGCGAUAAGUAAUGUGAAUUGCAGAAUUCAGUGAAUCAUCGAAUCUUUGAACGCACAUUGCGCCCGCCAGCACUCUGGCGGGCAUGCCUGUUCGAGCGUCAUUUCAACCAUCAAGCCCCCAGGGGCUUGUGCUGGGGCCCUGCGGCUGCCCGCAGGCCCUGAAAACCAGUGGCGGGCUCGCUAGUCACACCGAGCGCAGUAGCACAUCUCGCUCAGGGCGUGCGGCGGGCUCCUGCCGUGAAACCCCCCACUGUAACCCCAAAGGUUGACCUCGGAUCAGGUAGGAAUACCCGCUGAACUUAAGCAUAUCAAUAAGCGGAGGA